rnacentral:rRNA from 1 species
AGCGAACGCUGGCGGCAGGCCUAACACAUGCAAGUCGAACGAACCUUUCGGGGUUAGUGGCGGACGGGUGAGUAACACGUUGGAACGUGCCUUUAGGUUCGGAAUAACUCAGGGAAACUUGUGCUAAUACCGAAUGUGCCCUUCGGGGGAAAGAUUAAUCGCCUUUAGAGCGGCCCGCGUCUGAUUAGCUAGUUGGUUGAGGUAAUGGCUCACCAAGGCGACGAUCAGUAGCUGGUCUGAGAGGAUGAUCAGCCACAUUGGGACUGAGACACGGCCCAAACUCCUACGGGAGGCAGCAGGGGGGAAUCUUGCGCAAUGGGCGAAAGCCUGACGCAGCCAUGCCGCGUGAAUGAUGAAGGUCUUAGGAUUGUAAAAUUCUUUCACCGGGGACGAUAAUGACGGUACCCGGAGAAGAAGCCCCGGCUAACUUCGUG